UCGAGCGAGAAAGUUCCCUUCGGGGAGCGAGUACAGCGGCGGAAGGGUGAGUAAUGCAUAAACAACCUACCCUCGUGUCGGGAAUAGCUACGGGAAACUGUAAGUAAUACCGGAUAACGUCAUUGCAUCGCCUGAUGUAUUGACCAAAGGUGGGGACCUCUUCGGAGGCCUGCCGCAUGAGGAGGGGUUUAUGUCCUAUCAGCUUGUUGGUGAGGUAACGGCUCACCAAGGCUUUUACGGGUAGCCGGAUUGAGAGAUCGACCGGUCACAUUGGGACUGAGACACGGCCCAGACUCCUACGGGAGGCUGCAGUGGAGAAUAAUUCGCAAUGGGGGAAACCCUGACGAUGCGACGCCGCGUGGAGGAUGAAGGCCCUCGGGUUGUAAACUCCUGUCACAGGUUAUGAAACCUUGUCGGUUAAUACCCCGGCAAGCUGACAAAGGCCUGAGAGGAAGCCACGGCUAACUUCGUGCCAGCAGCCGCGGUAAAUACGAAGGUGGCAAGCGUUGGUUCGGAA
rnacentral:rRNA from 1 species